AGAGUUUGAUCAUGGCUCAGGACGAACGCUGGCGGCGCGCCUAAAACAUGCAAGUCGAACGAGAAGCCCGGGCUUGCCCGGGUGGACAGUGGCGAACGGGUGAGUAACACGUGAGGAACCUGCCCCGAAGACCGGGACAACGUCGGGAAACCGUUGCUAAUACCGGAUGCCCUCGAAGAAUCGCAUGGUUCAUCGAGGAAAUGGAUUCCGCUUCGGGAUGGCCUCGCGGCCUAUCAGCUUGUUGGUGAGGUAACGGCUCACCAAGGCUUCGACGGGUAGCUGGUCUGAGAGGAUGUCCAGCCACACUGGGACUGAGACACGGCCCAGACUCCUACGGGAGGCAGCAGUUAGGAAUCUUGCGCAAUGGACGAAAGUCUGACGCAGCGACGCCGCGUGCGGAUGAAGGCCCUCGGGUUGUAAACCGCUUUCAGCAGGGACGAAAUUGACGGGUACCUGCAGAAGAAGCCCCGGCCAACUACGUGCCCAGCAGCCGCGGUAAUACGUAGGGGGCUAGCGUUGUCCGGAUUUAUUGGGCGUAAAGAGCUCGUAGGUGGUUCGGUAAGUCGGAUGUGAAAUCUCCAGGCUCAACCUGGAGGGGUCAUUCGAUACUGCCGUGACUAGAGUUCGGUAGAGGAGUGUGGAAUUCCUGGUGGAGCGGUGAAAUGCGCAGAGAUCAGGAGGAACACCCGUAGCGAAGGCGGCACUCUGGGCCGAUACUGACACUGAGGAGCGAAAGCGUGGGGAGCGAACAGGAUUAGAUACCCNNGUAGUCC
rnacentral:rRNA from 1 species